UUGUGUAAAAUCUAACAACCUCUGCUUCAUUGCACAUCCAGGUCGUGAAUGGAUUCAUGUCAGCCUUCAAACCCAUCGGGAGCUUUGUUCAUAAUUUUGUGUCCUUCACACGUGAGAGAGAUGCGUCAAAUAUAAAAAGCACCACUUUGACCCAGUUCCUGCUCAACUGGACUCUGUCUGAGCUGGCUGGCAAAUACCGGCAGCCAAAUGCAUCUGUGGUCCCAGAGGGACCUCAGUUUGAUGUGACAAAUGUGGCAGACUGGUAUGAUUAUGUUGUGAAGCCGCUGUUACGGAGGUUUUUGCCCAAUGAAGAACUCCUGAUGCAUGAAAACAUCACGCUCGCUUUCCACGAAGUGUUGUAAGUCAGGCAUUCCUCAUUUACAUUAAUGGCUUCCAAUGAAGACAGGACAAGGGUUUAAAAAUAGCACAAGCAAUAAAUCAAUAAUGCAUCAGCAGCUCUACAGCUCUAUUAUAUCCAGCAA
rnacentral:lncRNA from 1 species